CACAGAGGGAAAAAAACAACGCGCCUCUAUUGUUGAGGGUGGCUUGUACCUGUGCCGCCAAAUGCGACGGAGCUGUGAAUGGAAAGAACGGAGCAGGAUCGGACCCCGCGCCAGGGGAGGGUAAACGCACGGAGCAGCAGCAGCGUCGCUCAGACGAGAUGUUGAUGGAAUCUACUCCACGAAACAAACAGAACAAAACCAAACCCACAAACAAGCAACAAAAAAGCUCCCCCCCCCCUCCCCAACCCAACAACCCAACCCCAAUCCCCUUUCAAGAAUAAAGUGUAUCAACUUACAACACAGCAGACGGCAGAGGGAUAAGUGAAACAGACAAAAGACAAACAAGAUAAUAAUCUGUUUCCAAUCAGUUAAGCCCUGUAGAAUUUGUAAUACGCGGUUUGCAUAUUCCCUCUGUGUUUUGUAAUUAAUUAUCUAUCUGUUAAGAUGC